GACGAACGCUGGCGGCGUGCUUAACACAUGCAAGUGGAGCGACGAACCCGGGCUUGCCCGGGGGCAGAGCCGCGAACGGGUGAGUAACACGUGGGUAACCUGCCCCGAUGACUGGGACAACCCGAGGAAACUCGGGCUAAUACCGGAUGAACUCUUCUCACAUGAGUGAGAUUUGAAAAGGAAGCUUCGGCCUCCGCAUUGGGAUGGGCCCGCGGCCCAUUAGCUUGUUGGUGGGGUAACGGCCUACCAAGGCUUCGAUGGGUAGCUGGUCUGAGAGGACGAUCAGCCACACUGGGACUGAGACACGGCCCAGACUCCUACGGGAGGCAGCAGUGGGGAAUCUUGCGCAAUGCGCGAAAGCGUGACGCAGCAACGCCGCGUGCGGGAAGACGGCCU
rnacentral:rRNA from 1 species